rnacentral:snRNA from 1 species
AUCGCUUCUCGGCCUUUUGGCUAAGAUCAAGUGUAGUAUCAAUAAAAAAUAUAUUUUAAAAUAUAUAAAAUCAUUAUUACUACAGUAAAAGGGACUUUCUUUUACUGUAGAGUGACUUUCUUCUUCAUUCCCUAAAAAAGUAAAAUGGAU